rnacentral:lncRNA from 1 species
UGCUACCUGCAAAACCUGAAAUUUCUGUAGCUGUUAAGACAAUGCUUGGAACCGCCCAGUAAAUAUUUCCCCUGACUACUUGGUUGUUUAAUAACUGAAGGGCUCUGUGUAACUGGUCACGUAGUCCUUUAGGCCCUAAAACCAAUCAGUUUGAAUGUGUACCCCNACAACAAUUUAUGUAAACUUUGUAAAAUGAUCAGCUUCAGAACUAUAGUACUUGAGAUUUAUAAAGAGCCCUGCCUUACUUGAGAUAAGGCUCUGUCCCAUCUCACUACAUGUAAAAGUGACUAUGGAAGAAGUAGGCCAGAUUUCAGUACAGUUAAAGUUGUGUCCAAAAGUAGAUUUUUGUCAAGAUUACUAGGAUCUCAAAUAGGAAAUUAUGAUGUAUAACCCUGCCAGAAUUCAAGGUAGCUAUUAUAUAAGCUAAAUAUGUUUUUACCCUAGUUAGUUUUGUUUUGUAGUUUGCUUAUAGAUGGUUUAAGGAUUGCCUGUUAAUGUUUUAAAGAGGUAUUGCUUUAAGAACACAACCUGGGUCAACAUAAGAUAAGGAGUUAUCAUCUACAGGAUAGAGAGAUAAACAUUAAAGCCCAGUGCUCUUAAUAGAAGGCUGUUAACUUAUUUGCUGGAUGUUUAAGAUCAAGUUUUUAAAAUUAGUUAAAUUAAAAGGGCCAAGAAAACCAAUAUUUGGCUCUUGCCCUCUGAGUCAGUCUGAAUCAGGGAAUAGGGGACUUCUCCAAAGGGCUCUGCAACUCUAGGCCACAUAACUUUCCGAUCAGGGAGAUUAAUGAGACCGGUGGAGGACAGGAGGCCAAUCAGUGCAUUUGCUAUGAAGAGGAGGGUCAUCAGAAAAGGGGAGACAUCCCUGAUGCUUCCGAGGGAAGCCACAUGGUCGAGCAAGGCCUGGACCCAUCUUAAGGUAAAUGGCACUAGCAGAACUGAGAAGCUGCUAUGAAGUUCCCCGAGGACUCCCAGGGAAACUCAUCUGACUGUUGACAAUAGAUAAGAACAAAAGUCAGUUUGACUUGCUUCAUCUUAAACACUUAGCAAAGAUAGUUAAAGCCAAAGCACAGCUGUUCCUGGACAUUUUAAAUGAUAAUAAUAAUUAAAUGUGACUUCCAAAAAUAAGUAAACUGGAGGCUACAAAAGAGAUUCUCAGACAGGAAUGCCUGAUAACUAUUAAAAGGAACUGCCAGAGUAGUUUUUAGUUUAAGGCCCACAGAUAUUCCUAACCUACACAGGUAGGCUUGGUGUUUGCUAGUAUGGUUAUCCAGCCUUAAGUAGCAGAAUUAAAGGUUUCUCUAUUAGACACAGGUCAUACUAGUAAAAGGAUUUUUAUGACAUUAAAUUAUUAGACUAUAUCUUAAAGGAAAAGGACAUCUGUAAACCUAAAUGUUAGUUGUUGUGUUUACAUCCCCGACAUUUCUGGCAAGGUGACAAAGGUCCUUAAAGAUUUACAUGCUGAGAUAGAAGCCAUGUCCUCAGCAACUUUGUUGUGGAAACAAUAUCUUAGCUCCUGGUUCUUGGUACUUCCUGGUGAAAAACAUUGUUAGUCUCUGUCUUGGCCAUUAUACUCAUUGGCAUAUUCCUGUGCUGUGACAUUUAUUGCUGCAUCAAUAUGGUUCCAGUAAACUAAUGAAUUCUUGUUUCUCUUAUAGACCACCUAUCCCUCGAAUGGCCCUCCAGCCUAAUACUUCUCAAUUGGACUUUUAUCAUGGACCACUCGAUAGACCCGAUUAUUAAAGGGGGACUCCAAACUGCUUGCCCCACACUGUCCCUUUUCAGCCUGAAGAAGCCGGAAAGAUCCUAUUCGCCCCCCUUCCUUACAGCAGUAAGGAGUUCCCAAAUUAGAGGAGGGAAUAAAGCCAGAUUUUAAGUUAGGUAGUCAGUGUAGUUAGAUAAAUCGGGGUCUAAUACCGAGUGAAAUCUAAAAUGGAGGCCAUGCUGAAAAUGAUUCCAGGGAACACAAAACAACUCACGAAAAGUGAAACCCUUCAAUAAUUGUGAUGCAUUACUUUUAAGAUUAAAAGUAGUCAGAAAAAGGAGUGGGGAAUGUAAGGGUAAAAGAAACUGAAGUUAAAGCAUAAAAGUUAAAGGGUAAAAGACCGGGUGUUGUAAAAGUUUCUAAGCUGCAAGGUCUGAGUUAAAAUGUAAAGGAGGUAUUGUUAGGUUUCUAUGCUACCUGCAAAACCUGAAAUUUCUGUAGCUGUUAAGACAAUGCUUAGAACCGCCCAGUAAACAUUUCCCCUGGCUGUUUGGUUAUUUAAUAACUGAAGGGCUCUGUGUAACUGGUCACGUAGUCCUCUGGGCCCUAAAACCAAUCAGUUUGAAUGUGUACCCUGUUUAGAAAUGACCUAUCACUCCAGCCUGACCUGUUCCCGCCAAUGAAUGAACCAAUCAUGUUUAGGAGUUGUUGUUCAAUUUUCCCGUGCCUCAUGAUGAUUUGUUCUGAUGUAUACAAAGCCCUCCGCCCUCCCCAAAAAGUGUACUUAAGCAGUGCUCAGCCCCUGCUCGGGGCUCUGGGCUGCUUUCCCUUCUUGAGUGGGCACGGAGCCCCAGCAUGCUGGUUCAAUAAAUCCCCUUCUGCCAAUUG